UACGUAGGGACCAAGCGUUGUUCGGAUUUACUGGGCGUAAAGGGCGCGUAGGCGGCAAUUCAAGUCAUCUGUGAAAUCUCCGGGCUUAACUCGGAACGGUCAGAUGAUACUGCUUUGCUAGAGUACAGAAGGGGCAAUCGGAAUUCUUGGUGUAGCGGUGAAAUGCGUAGAUAUCAAGAGGAACACCUGAGGUGAAGACGGGUUGCUGGGCUGAUGACUGACGCUGGAGGCGCGAAAGCUAGGGUAGCAAACGGG
rnacentral:rRNA from 1 species